AGACUGAGCACACGACGCUAGGAAAGAAAAGGAUCAUCAAUGAAACAGAGAGAAUCUUGAAUACACAGGUGGAGCCCGGUGCUGCUGAGUGAUGGAGCUGAAGGUGUGGGUGGAGGGCGUGGUCAGGGUGGUUUGCGGUUUAUCACUCAGCACUUCCUGUCAGGAGGUUGUGAUCACUCUCGCUCAAGCCAUCGGUCAGACGGGUCGUUUCAUCCUCGUCUUAAAGUUACGUGAGAAUGAGACACAGCUGGUUGCUGACGACUGUCCUCUGCAGCGUCUGGCCCAUCUGGGGCAGCUGGCUGCAGAGGUCCAGUUCAUUCUGCGGAGGACCGGCCCCUGUCUCAGCGGUGGUCAAGACACGCCAACCACAGAGAGACGCCUCCCCCUGCCGAGAACCUCAGAACCAGAGCCCCUGAGACGCAGGGAGCCAAAAAAGUCUCUCACUUUUAAUCUGGGUCCGUCAACGUUUUCCAAGGAGACCAAACCAAACAGGACCAUUUACAGAGCCUCCCCUGAACCACGGGCCUCCCCCGUCUCUCCCUCAGACGAUCCCAGCGUGAACAAAGAGGAUGUGUUUAGGCAGAUUCUGCAGCAACAGAGAAGAUUACAAGACCUGCAGGUUCAGCUUCAAGCUCUGGAGAGGGAGACUCAGGUGUGGGAGCAGGAGAGGCCGUCCACGGUUCCAUGUCUGAGUCCGGACGCUGCACAGGAACUGGAGGAGCUGCAGUGGCGGCUGAGGCAGAAUGAAGUAGAGCUGAUGGACAGAGGACACUUGGAUGAAGAGCUACAGACAGAGACAGACAGAGAACAAGACAUGCACAGACGUCUCCACCAGAUACACUCCUCAGUGGAUGAUCACAGUCACAAGUUCAAGGAGCUCCAGGUUCGUUCUGCACAUCUGGAACACGACCUUCAGCUCGCCGCCUACAGACAAAGCUCGCAGGAAGUCGCUCGGCAGCAGGAGGAGGCGCUGAGGCCCCUGAAGGAGGAGCUCCACAACCGCCUGCAGCAAGCAGAGGAACUGGACGCAAUGUGGUCAGGGACACAGAGGCAGCUCCACGCUGCAGAGAGACAGCUACAGGACAGACGGCAGCUGGUUGAGGAGCUGAAUAAGGAGCUGAGACAGUGUAACCUGCAGCAGUUCAUCCAGCAGACCGGUGCUCCACAAGCUGAGCAGACGAACUCCCUGCCGGUCACCGAAGUUUACCUCAGCAGCGCCGGAGUUAUGGAGUAACGGAACGCUGCCACUUGUCGCUGCAGCAUAAAGAGAAAACGUACUGGCAGUGAAACUCAGUUUGAAGCUCAGGACAUGAAGGAAGAAAACAUGGUCCAGACCCUACAGUGUGUGUGUGAGUGUGUGUGUGUGAGUGUGAGUGUG